AACGAACGCUGGCGGCAUGCCUAACACAUGCAAGUCGAACGAAGGCUUCGGCCUUAGUGGCGCACGGGUGCGUAACGCGUGGGAAUCUGCCCUUGGGUACGGAAUAACUCCUCGAAAGGGGUGCUAAUACCGUAUGAUGUCGGAAGACCAAAGAUUUAUCGCCCGAGGAUGAGCCCGCGUUGGAUUGGCUAGUUGGUGGGGUAAAGGCCUACCAAGGCGACGAUCCAUAGCUGGUCUGAGAGGAUGAUCAGCCACACUGGGACUGAGACACGGCCCAGACUCCUACGGGAGGCAGCAGUGGGGAAUAUUGGACAAUGGGCGCAAGCCUGAUCCAGCAAUGCCGCGUGAGUGAUGAAGGCCUUAGGGUUGUAAAGCUCUUUUACCCGGGAAGAUAAUGACUGUACCGGGAGAAUAAGCCCCGGCUAACUCCGUGCCAGCCGCCGCAGUAAGAC
rnacentral:rRNA from 1 species